UCUAAUGGGACUGCCGGUGACAAACCGGGAGGAAGUGGGGAUGACGUCAAGUCCUCAUGGCCCUUAUAGGUGGGGCUACACACGUCAUACAAUGGCCGGUACAGAGGGUAGCCAACCCGCGAGGGGGAGCUAAUCCCAUAAAACCAGUCGUAGUCCGGAUCGCAGUCUGCAACUCGACUGCGUGAAGUCGGAAUCGCUAGUAAUCGCGGAUCAGAAUGUCGCGGUGAAUACGUUCCCGGGUCUU
rnacentral:rRNA from 1 species